rnacentral:tRNA from 1 species
UCCCUGGUGGCUCAGGUGGUAAAGUGUCUGUCUGCAAUGCAGGAGACCUGGGUUCGAUCCCUGGGUUGGGAA